UAGCCCAUUAGCUUGUACUCCUCCUAAACCCUAGCCCUUUAGAUAUAAAUACACCAUUAUGGGUGUUGGAAAAGGAUGAUUUUCCACAUUAGAUUACGACUAGAGUUUACAAAAGAGAAAAAGCUUUGCAUCUCUUAAAGGAUAUCUAAGCUAUGGAAACCAAGCCAUUCUUCCGCUUAUGUGAUAAUUCAUACCGACCGAUAACUCAUGUCGUGGUUGUUGCAGAUCUGCUUCGGCUAAGGAGAAACUUGAUUGGCGCUCUAGUUGUGAUAAGCUCGUUGUUGGAUGGCUUGGACGGCUUGAGUACUUUGUCCGCACUGACGUCCACAGAUUGAUGAUCCACCACUGUAGGUUAUUGUUCAGCUGGAGCACUCCUCUUGUUCCGUAGUUGCUGUUGUGUUUUUGGUACAUUAUACUUUUGUGUGCAUACGGGUAUGGCUGAGCCGGUCCUGACCUUAUUAUGCCAUACACUCUAGUAGAGGCUUUUAGACAAUCAGGGUAUAGUUAGACGUUGUAUGGCCAAUCGGCCUAUAUUUUUGCAUAGUAUUUUCUGAUGGCCUUGUCGGCUUGCACAGUUUUUGGCCAGCAUAGUUGUAUAGUAUGUCUUUUCGGGCUCAUCCCUUUUUCAGCAUAUUUCUCAUAUGAUUUAGCAGAUUUCCAUCUGAUGACCCUCGAGGUCCACUCUUGAUUAUGAUUAUGAUAUGAAAGCAUGUUUAGUGGUGCUCGACAGGUAGGGCCCGGGUGCCCGUCAAGGUCCUCCGGUUUGGACCGUGACAUUUUCUAUUUGGUGUAUAUAUUUUUUGUGUAUAUACCACUUUUUAAUCAAGAAAUAAAAAUAUUUAUUGAAAUAUUUGGUGACUUAGCUUGAGUUGAUAUGAUUAUUUUACAUUUAACAUCUAUCCUUAGACGAUGAUUCAGAGCAUAGU